UACGAAGGGUGCAAGCGUUGUUCGGAAUUAUUGGGCGUAAAGGGUUCGUAGGCUGGAAUCUAAGUCAAGUGUGAAAUCCUCGGGCUUAACCUGAGACGUGCAUUUGAAACUGGGUUUCCUGAGUAUCAGAGAGGGUAGUGGAAUUGCUGGUGUAGGAGUGACAUCCGUAGAGAUCAGCAGGAACACCGGAGGCGAAGGCGACUGCCUGGCUGAAUACUGACGCUGAGGAACGAAAGCGUGGGGAGCAAACAGG
rnacentral:rRNA from 1 species